ACCAUCUCAGUCCUCAACCUCUAACCCGGAGCUGUUGGAAAGGCUGCAGCAGCUUCAGAAACUCCAUUUACGGGGCACAUACAUGAUUUAUUACAGAUACCCUGGGUGGAUCGACAAGCUGGACUAAUGCCUCACCAAUACAAGUAGCAGGAUUAACUUUGAGGCAUUGGGUUACAAACCAAUCAGGA